rnacentral:snRNA from 1 species
AGUGUUGUUUAUUCUAAAAAAUAAUGAGGUACAACAUCUGCUCUUAUCAAUAUAAAACAUCUGAUAUGUGGGCCAUUGGUCCACAUGAUAUUAACAUUUUUUUCAGGGGGGAGACUCGCUAAGGUAGCUUGCUGCUACCUGGGCCUUCACACACUGCCUAGGCGUUGCACGUCAGGCUUGCCCUCCCUUCCCCCC